GAUGAAGACGUAGCGAAAUGCGAUAAGUAAUGUGAAUUGCAGAAUUCAGUGAAUCAUCGAAUCUUUGAACGCACAUUGCGCCCCUUGGUAUUCCGAGGGGCAUGCCUGUUCGAGCGUCAUUACACCACUCAAGCUAUGCUUGGUAUUGGGCGUCGUCCUUAGUUGGGCGCGCCUUAAAGACCUCGGCGAGGCCACUCCGGCUUUAGGCGUAGUAGAAUUUAUUCGAACGUCUGUCAAAGGAGAGGAACUCUGCCGACUGAAACCUUUAUUUUUCUAGGUUGACCUCGGAUCAGGUAGGGAUACCCGCUGAACUUAAGCAUAUCAAUAAGCGGAGGA
rnacentral:misc_RNA from 1 species